AACGAACGCUGGCGGCAUGCCUAACACAUGCAAGUCGAACGAACCCUUCGGGUCUAGUGGCGCACGGGUGCGUAACGCGUGGGAACCUUCCCUUAGGUUCGGAAUAACUCCCCGAAAGGGGUGCUAAUACCGGAUCAUGUCUUCGGACCAAAGAUUUAUCGCCCUUGGAUGGGCCCGCGUUGGAUUAGCUAGUUGGUAGGGUAAAAGCCUACCACGGCGACGAUCCAUAGCUGGUCUGAGAGGAUGAUCAGCCACACUGGGACUGAGACACGGCCCAGACUCCUACGGGAGGCAGCAGUGGGGAAUAUUGGACAAUGGGCGAAAGCCUGAUGCAGCAAUGCCGCGUGAGUGAUGAAGGCCGUAGGGUUGUAAAGCGCUUUUACCCGGGAUGAUAAUGACAGUACCGGGAGAAUAAGCUCCGGCUAACUCCGUG
rnacentral:rRNA from 1 species